rnacentral:rRNA from 1 species
UACGUAGGGUGCGAGCGUUAAUCGGAAUUACUGGGCGUAAAGCGUGCGCAGGCGGUCUGUUAAGACCGAUGUGAAAUCCCCGGGCUUAACCUGGGAACUGCAUUGGUGACUGGCAGGCUUUGAGUGUGGCAGAGGGAGGUAGAAUUCCACGUGUAGCAGUGAAAUGCGUAGAGAUGUGGAGGAACACCAAUGGCGAAAGGCAGCCUUCUGGGCCAACACUCGACGCUCAUGCACGAAAGCGUGGGGAUCAAACAGG